GAUCGUAACAGUACCUGCUUAGGAUUACUUACCAUGUUUAAACAUUCCUAUUUUUCCUUUUAAUAUCAUACCGAAUGCUGCACAAAUGCAGCCUCUUUUCCGGGCACGCUGCGAGCCUCGCCGACUGCAGGCACAUUCUUCAGGAACGGUGUGUCGUGUCUGUAUGGCUGUUACAUCCCGAGCCAGGGAGAGUGGGCAGACAAGCUGCAGUCAGGGGCAAGAUCUCUUCUUCCCCAUUGAGCCCUGAUGUCUUGCUGUCUAUUCCUCAGAAGACAAGAGAGAGAAUAAAUUUAGAUUUUCUCAAGGAUGCACUUAGAAUAAACACAUGCACUUCAGAGAAAAGAGGGAAAAAAAGCUUCUCCAGCUCACAUAAAAUUGGACAUUUCAGUUAAAUAGAAAUUCUCUGUAAUUAUCACCACCUGCUAGUUCAGCUGAUUCAACUAUCACCUAUAAACACAACUGCAACCAAAUGAUGCCCAGUCUCCAGAACAGUCAAUUUAAC
rnacentral:lncRNA from 1 species